UGCUUCUCGUUUAAAUAUAAGAAGUAAUUCCUGCCCAGUGACUUAGUUCAACGGCCGCGGUAUCCUAACCGUGCAAAGGUAGCAUAAUCACUUGCCCAUUAAUUGUGGGCUAGAAUGAAAGGACCAACGAAAUAAAAACUGUCUCUAUAAGUCAUCUAAAAAUUAAUCUCUAACUGAAGACUGUUAGAUAUCGUCGAAGGACAAGAAGACCCUAUAGAGCUUUAUUUUAAUAAAAACUUAUAUUUUUAAUAAAUUCGGUUGGGGCGACCAGGGAAAUUUCAAAUCAUCCCUCAAUAAAAGAUAAAUUAAUCAAACCUCGGACCCUUAAUCAAGAUCAACAGAUCAAGCUACCUUAGGGAUAACAGGCUAAUCCCACUAAAGAGUCCUUAUCAAUAGUGGGGGUUGGCACCUCGAUGUUGGCUUAGGGAAUCUAUGCGGCGCAAAAGUCACAUAAAGAUGGUUUGUUCAA
rnacentral:rRNA from 1 species